GCGCGUAGGCGGUCUGUUAAGUGUAGAGUGAAAUCUCCAGGGCUCAACCCGGAAACUGCUCUGCAUACUGGCAGACUUGAGGAUUGCAGAGGUUUGUGGAAUUCCCGGUGUAGCGGUGAAAUGCGUUGAUAUCGGGAGGAACACCCAUGGCGAAGGCAGCAAACUGGGCAAUAUCUGACGCUGAGGCGCGAAAGCGUGGGUAGCAAACAGGAUUAGAUACCCUGGUAGUCCACGCCCUAAACGAUGGAUACUAGGCGUAAGAGGUAUCGACCCCUCUUGUGCCGCAGCUAACGCACUAAGUAUCCCGCCUGGGGACUACGGCCGCAAGGUUGAAACUCAAAUGAAUUGACGGGGACCCGCACAAGCGGUGGAGCAUGUGGAUUAAUUCGAUAUUAACCGAAGAACCUUACCCAGACUUGACAUCGAUCGCAAGCCUUAGAAAUAGGGCCCUCUCUCACAAGGAGACGUGAAGACACUUGUUGCAUGGCUGUCGUCAGCUCGUGCCGUGAGGUGUACGGUUAAGUCCGCCAACGAGCGCAACCCUCGUCCUGUGUU
rnacentral:rRNA from 1 species